UAGACAUCCUGCUGGCCUGUUCCCUUUCCAGUGCUGUGCCCUGGGAACCUGUGCUCCAGCCUAGAGAAGAGGGUUUCUUUGUGUAAUUCAUCUUCCCAAGGGCAGCUGCACUUUUUGACAGUGACUGUAUGCCUCCAGAGGAGCCUAGUUGUGUAACAAAAACCUUAGCCUCAUUAAGCAACAACUCCAUUAUAAUCCUGGAAUCAGAUGCUUAGGUAGACAGUUCUACUCGUCCCACUUGUGUCCUUUCAUGCCAGUGCCUCACAGAGGUGGAAGAAUGUUGGAUAUCUGGCACCUCUGUGUCCCUUAAUAACGCUCUUCCAUCGAUGGUGAGAGUGCUUCCUUAUGGCUUUGUGGACCGUCUCCUCCAUCUGGAGGUCAUUCUGACCCACAAUCAGGGCAGCUCAGGAAUCUAAAGAGGAGGGAGCAGAAGCCCUCAAGUCUUCGAAAGCAUCCCUCUUUGUCUGUAUUCCAUCCACCAAGCAAGCACAAGCCCGGUGUGGAUUUGAGAGAGGAGGCAAGCCAGGGAGCAGUUGUACGCGCACGGCCUGAUGGACUUACUCAGCGCCAUUGAGAUAGACUCGCCCUGCAAAGACUGGGGUCCCCAGGAAUGCAUGGUAUUGUUCAAACUGAUUACAGUGACAAAAACGUAAUGAAGGCUGCCUGAUCAAGCCAAUCCUGACAGACUCAACUGCCAAGGAACCAGAAUGCUUUAUUAUAGAAGGUUCGUGUUUUUUCUAGUGGGUAAGCAAAGGGGAAGAUAAGCCGUAACAAGAGAGCCAAAAAUAUGGACCCAGGGAGGUAGAAUUGAGAGAAGAUGCCUGGAAACCUUAUAAACCAGAAAACAGGACUUCUGCUCUGAGCUCAACAUGCUCCCUUGCAGACUCACCUUAGAGGAUCAACCAGAACGGGACGAGACAGCAGGAAUCUCGGCCCCAGCAACCAGAAGGUGACUUGGUGUCAGCUCCGAUGUGUAGGUCAGAGGGGUUGGAGUUCGGUUUGGGCAACGCUGGAAAAGCCCAGAGAUUGCUCCUGCUGCAGUGACUUCCCUACACUGAUGGACUGGAACCUGGAACUGUGAGCUGAACUAUAUUCUCAGCAACAAGAGAAACUCCGCACAGCUCCCAGGAAGGCUGUCACCACAUGAGAACAACUGAAAUCGGUAAGCCUCGCGCGUGGUGUGACUAAGUCUGUCUGGAAGCUGGUUUCCCUCGAGUGUUAAUGGCUGGCUCUCUUCCUCCUGUUCUUAUUUACGUGGAAGAAAGGAGCAGGAUGUUGGGGUAGGACUUUUUGACUGACGAUGUCAUCACGACACAGACAGGGAUUACAGACACCCUUCUCCCAAGCUGGCACUGCUGGUCAUUGCCAGGAAGCUGGGAAGGAUGCCAGAAUACACCCGGGGUUGGAGGUCUCGAGCACCUCCAAGGAUACUGCCAUAGCCC
rnacentral:lncRNA from 1 species